rnacentral:rRNA from 1 species
GACGAACGCUGGCGGCGUGCUUAACACAUGCAAGUCGAACGGAAAGGCCUCUUUCGGGGGGUACUCGAGUGGCGAACGGGUGAGUAACACGUGAGUAACCUGCCCUUGACUUUGGGAUAACUUCAGGAAACUGGGGCUAAUACCGGAUAGGAGCUCCUGCUGCAUGGUGGGGGUUGGAAAGUUUCGGCGGUUGGGGAUGGACUCGCGGCUUAUCAGCUUGUUGGUGGGGUAACGGCCCACCAAGGCAACGAUCAGUAGGGGUUCUGAGAGGAAGGUCCCCCACAUUGGAACUGAGACACGGUCCAAACGCCUACGGGAGGCAGCAGUGAGGAAUAUUGGUCAAUGGGCGAGAGCCUGAACCAGCCAAGUAGCGUGCAGGAAGACGGCCCUAUGGGUUGUAAACUGCUUUUAUAAGGGAAUAAAGUGAGAGUCGUGACUCUUUUUGUAUGUACCUUAUGAAUAAGGACCGGCUAAUUCCGUG